rnacentral:rRNA from 1 species
GGGAGUAACCAAACGAAAGUUUAGGCUAAUACCGCGUAAGCUCCAAGGAGGAAAGUAGGGGACCUAAAUAAGGCCUUACGCUAUUUGAUCGGCCGAUGUCGGAUUAGCUAGUUGGUGGGGUAAUGGCUCACCAAGGCAAUGAUCCGUAGCGGGUCUGAGAGGACGAUCCGCCACACUGGGACUGAGACACGGCCCAG